rnacentral:rRNA from 1 species
UCCCUAGUAACUGCGAGUGAAGAGGGAAAAGCUCAAAUUUAAAAUCUGGCAGCUUCGCUGUCCGAGUUGUAAUUUAGAGAAGUGUUACCCGCGCUGGACCGUGUAUAAGUCUCCUGGAAUGGAGCGUCAUAGAGGGUGAGAAUCCCGUCUUUGACACGGACUACCAGGGCAUUGUGGUGCGCUCUCGAAGAGUCGAGUUGUUUGGGAAUGCAGCUCUAAAUGGGUGGUAAAUUCCAUCUAAAGCUAAAUAUUGGCGAGAGACCGAUAGCGAACAAGUACCGUGAGGGAAAGAUGAAAAGAACUUUGGAAAGAGAGUUAAACAGUACGUGAAAUUGCUGAAAGGGAAACGCUUGAAGUCAGUCGCGUUGGCCGGGGAUCAGCCUUGCUUUUGUGAGGUGUACUUCCCGGUUGACGGGUCAGCAUCAGUUUCGACCACUGGAGAAAGGCUUGGGGAAUGUGGCACCUUCGGGUGUGUUAUAGCCCCUYGUUGUAUACAGUGGUUGGGACUGAGGAACUCAGCACGCCGCAAGGCCGGGUUUCGACCACGUUCGUGCUUAGGAUGCUGGCAAAAUGGCUUUAAGCGACCCGUCUUGAAACACGGACCAAGGAGUCUAACAUGCCUGCGAGUGUUUGGGUGGAAAACCCGAGCGCGUAAUGAAAGUGAAAGUUGGGAUCUCUGUCGUGGAGAGCACCGACGCCCGGACCUGAUGUUUACUGACGGAUCUGCGGUAGAGCAUGUAUGUUGGGACCCGAAAGAUGGUGAACUAUGCCUGAAUAGGGUGAAGCCAGAGGAAACUCUGGUGGAGGCUCGUAGCGAUUCUGACGUGCAA